GGGUUGUGAGGUUAAGCGACUAAGCGUACACGGUGGAUGCCCGGCAGUCAGAGGCGAUGAAGGACGUGCUAAUCUGCGAUAAGCGUCGGUAAGGUGAUAUGAACCGUUAUAACCGGCGAUUUCCGAAUGGGGAAACCCAGUGUGUUUCGACACACUAUCAUUAACUGAAUCCAUAGGUUAAUGAGGCGAACCGGGGGAACUGAAACAUCUAAGUACCCCGAGGAAAAGAAAUCAACCGAGAUUCCCCCAGUAGCGGCGAGCGAACGGGGAGCAGCCCAGAGCCUGAAUCAGUGUGUGUGUUAGUGGAAGCGUCUGGAAAGGCGCGCGAUACAGGGUGACAGCCCCGUACACAAAAAUGCACAUACUGUGAGCUCGAUGAGUAGGGCGGGACACGUGGUAUCCUGUCUGAAUAUGGGGGACCAUCCUCCAAGGCUAAAUACUCCUGACUGACCGAUAGUGAACCAGUACCGUGAGGGAAAGGCGAAAAGAACCCCGGCGAGGGGAGUGAAAAAGAACCUGAAACCGUGUACGUACAAGCAGUGGGAGCCUCUUUUAUGGGGUGACUGCGUACCUUUUGUAUAAUGGGUCAGCGACUUAUAUUCUGUAGCAAGGUUAACCGAAUAGGGGAGCCGAAGGGGAAACCGAGUCUUAACUGGGCGUUAAGUUGCAGGGUAUAGACCCGAAACCCGGUGAUCUAGCCAUGGGCAGGUUGAAGGUUGGGUAACACUAACUGGAGGACCGAACCGACUAAUGUUGAAAAAUUAGCGGAUGACUUGUGGCUGGGGGUGAAAGGCCAAUCAAACCGGGAGAUAGCUGGUUCUCCCCGAAAGCUAUUUAGGUAGCGCCUCGUGAAUUCAUCUCCGGGGGUAGAGCACUGUUUCGGCAAGGGGGUCAUCCCGACUUACCAACCCGAUGCAAACUGCGAAUACCGGAGAAUGUUAUCACGGGAGACACACGGCGGGUGCUAACGUCCGUCGUGAAGAGGGAAACAACCCAGACCGCCAGCUAAGGUCCCAAAGUCAUGGUUAAGUGGGAAACGAUGUGGGAAGGCCCAGACAGCCGGGAUGUUGGCUUAGAAGCAGCCAUCAUUUAAAGAAAGCGUAAUAGCUCACUGGUCGAGUCGGCCUGCGCGGAAGAUGUAACGGGGCUAAACCAUGCACCGAAGCUGCGGCAGCGACGCUGAUGCGUUGUUGGGUAGGGGAGCGUUCUGUAAGCCUGCGAAGGUGUGCUGUGAGGCAUGCUGGAGGUAUCAGAAGUGCGAAUGCUGACAUAAGUAACGAUAAAGCGGGUGAAAAGCCCGCUCGCCGGAAGACCAAGGGUUCCUGUCCAACGUUAAUCGGGGCAGGGUGAGUCGACCCCUAAGGCGAGGCCGAAAGGCGUAGUCGAUGGGAAACAGGUCAAUAUUCCUGUACUUGGUGUUACUGCGAAGGGGGGGACGGAGAAGGCUAUGUUGGCCGGGCGACGGUUGUCCCGGUUUAAGCGUGUAAGCUGGUUUUCCGGGCAAAUCCGGAAAAUCAAGGCUGAGGCGUGAUGACGAGGCACUACGGUGCUGAAGCAACAAAUGCCCUGCUUCCGGGAAAAGCCUCUAAGCAUCAGGUAACAUCAAAUCGUACCCCAAACCGACACAGGUGGUCAGGUAGAGAAUACCAAGGCGCUUGAGAGAACUCGGGUGAAGGAACUAGGCAAAAUGGUGCCGUAACUUCGGGAGAAGGCACGCUGAUAUGUAGGUGAAGUCCCUCGCGGAUGGAGCUGAAAUCAGUCGAAGAUACCAGCUGGCUGCAACUGUUUAUUAAAAACACAGCACUGUGCAAACACGAAAGUGGACGUAUACGGUGUGACGCCUGCCCGGUGCCGGAAGGUUAAUUGAUGGGGUCAGCGCAAGCGAAGCUCUUGAUCGAAGCCCCGGUAAACGGCGGCCGUAACUAUAACGGUCCUAAGGUAGCGAAAUUCCUUGUCGGGUAAGUUCCGACCUGCACGAAUGGCGUAAUGAUGGCCGGGCUGUCUCCACCCGAGACUCAGUGAAAUUGAACUCGCUGUGAAGAUGCAGUGUACCCGCGGCAAGACGGAAAGACCCCGUGAACCUUUACUAUAGCUUGACACUGAACAUUGAGCCUUGAUGUGUAGGAUAGGUGGGAGGCUUUGAAGUGUGGACGCCAGUCUGCAUGGAGCCGACCUUGAAAUACCACCCUUUAAUGUUUGAUGUUCUAACGUUGACCCGUGAUCCGGGUUGCGGACAGUGUCUGGUGGGUAGUUUGACUGGGGCGGUCUCCUCCUAAAGAGUAACGGAGGAGCACGAAGGUUGGCUAAUCCUGGUCGGACAUCAGGAGGUUAGUGCAAUGGCAUAAGCCAGCUUGACUGCGAGCGUGACGGCGCGAGCAGGUGCGAAAGCAGGUCAUAGUGAUCCGGUGGUUCUGAAUGGAAGGGCCAUCGCUCAACGGAUAAAAGGUACUCCGGGGAUAACAGGCUGAUACCGCCCAAGAGUUCAUAUCGACGGCGGUGUUUGGCACCUCGAUGUCGGCUCAUCACAUCCUGGGGCUGAAGUAGGUCCCAAGGGUAUGGCUGUUCGCCAUUUAAAGUGGUACGCGAGCUGGGUUUAGAACGUCGUGAGACAGUUCGGUCCCUAUCUGCCGUGGGCGCUGGAGAACUGAGGGGGGCUGCUCCUAGUACGAGAGGACCGGAGUGGACGCAUCACUGGUGUUCGGGUUGUCAUGCCAAUGGCACUGCCCGGUAGCUAAAUGCGGAAGAGAUAAGUGCUGAAAGCAUCUAAGCACGAAACUUGCCCCGAGAUGAGUUCUCCCUGACCCUUUAAGGGUCCUGAAGGAACGUUGAAGACGACGACGUUGAUAGGCCGGGUGUGUAAGCGCAGCGAUGCGUUGAGCUAACCGGUACUAAUGAACCGUGAGGCUUAACCUUACAACGCCGAAGCUGUU
rnacentral:rRNA from 1 species